CGCUGGCGGAAUGCUUAACACAUGCAAGUCGCACGGGGGCUUCGGCCUUAGUGGCGGACGGGUGAGUAACGCGUAGGAAUGUGUCCGAGGAUGGGGGAUAACGUUGGGAAACUGACGCUAAUACCGCAUAUCUCCUGAGGGAGAAAGCCGUAAGGCGUCCACGGAGCAGCCUGCGUACGAUUAGCUUGUUGGUGAGGUAAAGGCUUACCAAGGCGACGAUCGUUAGCUGGUCUGAGAGGAUGAUCAGCCACACUGGAACUGAGACACGGUCCAGACUCCUACGGGAGGCAGCAGUGGGGAAUUUUCCGCAAUGGGCGAAAGCCUGACGGAGCAAUACCGCGUGAGAGAAGAAUGCCUAUGGGUUGUAAACCUCUUUUUUCAGGGAGGAAUAAAAUGACGUGUACCUGAAGAAUAAGCAUCGGCUAACUCCGUG
rnacentral:rRNA from 1 species